rnacentral:rRNA from 1 species
UGCCAGCCGCCGCGGUAAUACGGAGGGUGCAAGCGUUAAUCGGAAUUACUGGGCGUAAAGCGCGCGUAGGCGGCUUAGUAAGUCGGAUGUGAAAGCCCUGAGCUCAACUUGGGAAUUGCAUUCGAAACUGCUUGGCUAGAGUAUGGUAGAGGGAAGUGGAAUUCCGGGUGUAGCGGUGAAAUGCGUAGAUAUCCGGAGGAACACCAGUGGCGAAGGCGACUUCCUGGACCAAUACUGACGCUGAGGUGCGAAAGCGUGGGGAGCAAACAGGAUUAGAUA